AUAAACCCAACCCACUACUACUACUACUACCCAACAGCGCCUAUCAAAAACAAAAACCCACUACUACUACCCAACAUUAGAAAACAAAAUAUCCUAUUAAAAUUCUCAAUAAGCUUAAUUUCUCCACCACUCAUCUACCAGAACAUUCGUAAAGAUGGAUCUCUCCACCGAUUUCUUAAUACUCUUCUACCUGAUUUCGAUCCCCCAUAUCUCAAUCUUCUUUUUUCUUUUUCAUUCUAUCUUUUCUUCAUUGCUCAAAACUUGAAGAAGAAGAAAGAAAGUUAUGGGUAAGUAGGUUAUCCAAACAUCCAAAAAUGUGUUAAAAUUGCGUCUCGAGAUUGAAAACGCACGUUUGGGGCUUGAAAAAGCCAAACCAAACAUAUACUAAUGAAUUAGGGUUUUUUGUUUUGGUAAAGUGAACCAGGGUUUACUAUUCUACUAUUAUUUAUUUAUUUAUUUUACUUAAAAUCUUCAAAGUCUUCUAGUUCUAUAAAUCUUCAAAAGGGAAAGGUAAGCUUAAGGCAUGGUAAGGAAGAUAAUGUUUUGAAAGCUUUAAAUUCUGUUGAAAAUUUCUCUCAUUUUAUUUCUUCCUAUUUUGACAAUCUGGUUAUUACUAAUAAUUUUAGUGAUUUAAGGAUACAGGACCCUUUGGAAAAGACUCUUAUUUUGCAGGAUCCUAGCAUAAUGGUGGAUGUUGUGGAUGUGAAAAUUUCACUAUACUUUGAAGCUCAUCCACCACAUAGAAAAAGAAUAAUGUCAACCACAUGGUUAGAAAAUUAAGAAGGGGCAAUGCCUUAAAGGUGAAAUUUUCCUUGGGAGAGCCACCUGAUUGAUUAUUUGGCUCUCGUCAAGCUCAGGACGUUAAAUAAGCGCUUCGCGGGAGGCAACCCGUGUUUAUUGUUUUAUAUUUUAGUUUAUUAUAUUUUUAUUAUGUUGGUAUGUUUAAUUUUGUUUUGAAGAAAUUCAGCAUCUUUAUCCUGAAAUGUUGCACUCAAGAUGGUUCAGACCCUAGACCCUACACUGUCACUGGAGUUCUUCCUCACGGAGCACUUGAGGUUUCUAAAGAAGAUGACACCACUUUCAAAGUUAAUGGACAGUUGCAAAACAUUAUGAUGAAGGGUUGCUCCAAGUGAGAUAUGUCACUCGCCUCAGUGAUUGAAAGCUUUUUUUUUUUCAGGGAAGUUUUUUGAUACCCUCUCACUUAUUUAUGUUAGUUUGUCCAUUUACAUUUUUUUUUUUUUUUCUUUCUUGCAUUGAGGACCAUGCUUAUUGCUAGUGUGGGGGAGGUAUUAUUAGGUACUAUAUUUAGGUAUUAUUAGGUACUAUAUUUUGACACUGCCUUUUAUUAGUUUUGUUGAUGGCAUUUUUCUGGCUUGUUUUGAUUAAAAUUAUGUUUAAAAAUAGAGAUCAUGCCUUUGAGGGAUCCUAGAAAAAAAAUUAUUUGACAGACUGGUUCAAUGUUAUAUUGGGGUUGUCUUUUGAAAGCUAAUAAUUAGCAUAAUGUGCUAUGUGGACUAUCUUUUUGUGAACCAAACUUCUAUAUGUGAGAUUUGAGCCUUUAUAAGGGGAUUACUUGUUAAAGUAUAAAUUCUAACCCCUUCUUUUUGUGUGAGUGUGAGUGUGUUUCCCAUUUUGUCACAUUCUAGAACUUGUUUUGUGACCGUGCUAAAGCGAAAAUUGAUCUGCAUCAUGUGAAAAAUGUUGGGGCAUUUGUAGGUAUUUUUUUUCUGGCCUUUAAUUUUAUUGUUUUGAAAUCAUCCUUAGUUGCCCACUUUGAGCCUAUUGAUUAUUUAUUCCUUGGUACCUAGAUAUGAUUAAUAUAUUGUUUUUUGUGGUAACCAUUUGAAAUUGAAAGUGGAGUAACUAUUCAAAAGAAAAUUUUCCCAUAUUUGAGAUGUUCAAUUGGAUGUGCAUGAUACAGUAAAAAAAAAAAAAUGUAUGAUGAUGCAGGAUAGGAAGAAAGAAAUAAAAGUAGGUUGUGUGGUUAUAGUGAACAUUUCUUUCAAAAAGAAUAAGAAUUGCAAAACAAAAAGACCAAAAAGAAAAGAAGAAAAAUAAGAUUUUCAUGUUUGAGUUGCUCAAUUGUUUAAUGAGCAUGAUAGAAAGAAAGAAAAAACAUUAUUGAAAGAGCACACUUUGGUAGAAAAGAAAGGAAGAGGUGUUGAUUUGGAGUUUGAAGCAACAGUUAAAAGUAUAAAGUAUAUAUGAGCUCCAUUUUUGUUUCAAAGGUUGCUAUUUGUUUCUUGUAUUUUUACCCCUUUGAUUAUCCAUUUCUUCUUAUAUCCCACCUUGCACAACUUAACCAUGGCCCCGUUACAACCCGUAAGACCUCAACUUUUGCAUGCAUGUAGACUAUUUAGUGGAGAUAUCGGUCAAAUUACAAGCUUAUGGUAAUGUGCAUUUUGUGGAAACUUGAGUGCUUAUUUGCCUAGUCCCUAAACACUUUAGAGAGAUUGUGAGAAUGUCCUUGUUCAUUUAAAGAUAGUUUUCAUGGACAUUAAAAGUCUCUAAUUGGGCAGAUUUUUGACAUCCCAUAUAUUAUAUAUUGUCUGUCAUUAUUGUUUAUAAUUUUGUUCUCUCAUUUGGCUAUCUCUAUCAUCUCUUUGAAAAAAUGUAUUUGAGCCAGAAAAUUUGCUUGAGGACAAGCAAAGGUUAAGUGUGGGGGAGUUGAUAAACUCUGAUUUAGUGUAUUAUAUGUAGAUAUUUUUUGGGUUAAUUUAGAGUAAUUAUUUAUUAUUAUAUAAGUAACUCACUUGAUUUGCUCUAUAUUAUACAAAAGAGAAGAAAAGAUAAAAAGAUGCAAAUCUAAUUUUUGAAUCACUUAAAAUAAUAUGAUAUACAUUAUAUAUUAUUAUUAUUAUUAUUAUUAUUAUAUGAAAUUAUAUACUUCUCAUCAUUUUGUGGGAUUUUAGGCAAAUAAGCCCAAAUGUGAAAGAAAGUCACGAUGGCCCAAAUUAAAUUAAAGGAACUUGUGUGCUUUGUCAUGAGAAAAGCUGAAGCUUUGAGAUCAAGUGGCAGGGGCGGCUAGCAUCACAACACAAAAGAGAUUUCAAGUUGAAAAUGUCUGACAACUCAAACACAAGUGGCUGAGGCGGUGAAGCAAUGGAAAGUCUUAAAACUUAAGAAAUCAACACAGGCGGUGAUUGAAACUAUAAAUUGAGCUUCUUGGUUUCAAUUGAUAUCAUGCUUUCUGCUGUUCUGUAACACGGCUGAGAGAGGAAAAUUGAGAAGCUUUGGAUUGAAGAUUGGAACUUUGGAACAACAUAUUUUCUUCAUUCUAGGGUUAUUUCUUACUCUUAAUUUCAUGAAUUCAAUUUCUAUGUUGGUGUUCUUUUUUAUUAUGGAUAGCUAAAUACUAUUCUAGGGUUUAUGGUGAAUCUUGCAAUUAAAAUUCCUUUUGCUAUGUCUUAGCUAUAUGUUCUAGUUUCUAAUUUGAAUUUCAGUAUUUUGUUCAA